ACGAUAACGGCGUCGAGCGGCGGACGGGUGAGUAAUGCCUAGGAAAUUGCCCUGAUGUGGGGGAUAACCAUUGGAAACGAUGGCUAAUACCGCAUGAUGCCUACGGGCCAAAGAGGGGGACCUUCGGGCCUCUCGCGUCAGGAUAUGCCUAGGUGGGAUUAGCUAGUUGGUGAGGUAAGGGCUCACCAAGGCGACGAUCCCUAGCUGGUCUGAGAGGAUGAUCAGCCACACUGGAACUGAGACACGGUCCAGACUCCUACGGGAGGCAGCAGUGGGGAAUAUUGCACAAUGGGCGCAAGCCUGAUGCAGCCAUGCCGCGUGUGUGAAGAAGGCCUUCGGGUUGUAAAGCACUUUCAGUCGUGAGGAAGGU
rnacentral:rRNA from 1 species